rnacentral:rRNA from 1 species
GGGUCAGUAGGUUGGUCGUGCCACCGGUACGUACUGGUCUCACUGAUUCCUCCUUCCUGAAGAACCGUAAUGCCAUUAAUUUGGUGUUGCGGGGAAACAGGACUGUUACUUUGAAAAAAUUAGAGUGUUUAAAGCAAGCUAACGCUUGAAUACAUUAGCAUGGAAUAAUGAAAUAGGACGACCGACCCUAUUUUGUUGGUUUCUAGGAUUGACGUA